UACGUAGGUGACAAGCGUUGUCCGGAUUUAUUGGGUUUAAAGGGUGCGUAGGCGGUCUUUUAAGUCAGUGCUGAAAUAUCCCGGCUUAACCGGGAGGGUGGCAUUGAUACUGAAGGACUUGAGUUCAGUCGAGGUAGGCGGAAUUGACGGUGUAGCGGUGAAAUGCUUAGAUAUCGUCAAGAACACCGAUAGUGUAGACAGCUUACUAGGCUGAAACUGACGCUGAGGCACGAAAGUGUGGGGAUCAAACAGG
rnacentral:rRNA from 1 species